rnacentral:lncRNA from 1 species
UUUUGUUUUGACGACUACGUCGUCUACAUAUGCCUCGACUGUUUUGCCGAUCUGGGUGGCCAGACAUGUUUGAAUCAUGCGCUGAUAUGUUGCGCCGGCAUUUUUAAGUCCGAAGGGCAUCGUGUUGAAGCAGAAUGGUCCAUAUGGAGUGAUGAAUGCCGUUGCGGCUUGGUCUGCUUCCGCCAUCUUGAUUUGAUGGUAACCAGAGUAUGCGUCCAGGAAGCACAACGAAUCGUGCCCUGCUGUAGCAUCGAUAAUUUGAUCGAUGCGGGGGAGAGGGAAAGGAUCCUUUGGGCAGGCCUUAUUGAGGUCUUUAAAAUCGACACAGAGGCGCCAGGAUUUAUCCUUCUUUGGUACCAUCACCAGAUUUGCUAGCCAGUCCGGAUGUUUGAUAUCUCUAAUAAAUCCGGCUUCCAGUAGUUUGGCUAGCUCUUCUCCCAUUGCCUGUCUUUUGGGUUCGGAAAAUCAUCGAAGAGCCUGUUUGACUACCUUAAAUCCUUUUAGGAUGUUUAGGCUGUGUUCUGCCAACCUGCGUGGGAUUCCGGGCAUGUCUGAAGGGUGCCAGGCGAAGAUAUCCCAAUUUUCCCGUAGGAAUUCGCGCAGUGCGGUGUCUACUUCGGGGUUCAAUUGUGCCCCAAUGGAGGCCGUCUUUGUUCGGUCCGUUGGAUGGACCUGGAAUUUUAUUAUUUCAUCUGCUGGUUUGAAGGAGGUGGACUUGGAUCUUUUAUCGAGUAUCAUGUCGUCCCUGUUCACCGUAGAGCGCAGCGCGGUGAGUUCUUCUGCCGCUAAGGCUUCGGAUAGUGCCUCGAGGGCUACUGCGGCUGUCUUGUUUUCGGCGCGGAGUGCUAUGUCCGGAUCACUAGCGAGAGUGAUUAUUCCGCUGGGCCCAUGCAUUUUGAGCUUCAUGUACCCGUAAUGAGGUACUACUUGAAAAAUUGUGAAUGCCUCUCGUCCUAAUAUGGCGUGAUACCCGCUGCUGAACGGGGCCACCUGGAACGUGACUUCUUCGGAUCUGUAAUUGUCCGGAGAGCCGAACACCACAUCGAGUGUGAUUUUUCCUGUGCAGCGCGCUUCCCGGCUAGGGAUUAUUCCUCUAAAGGUUGUGCUGCUUCGCUCAAUACGGCUCCAAUCGAUUUCCAUUUUUCGCAGAGUUUCCUCGUAAAUGAGGUUUAGUCCGCUGCCGCCAUCCAUGAGGACUUUUGUCAGUCGAAAGCCGUCCACUAUGGGACUAAGUACCAGUGCCGCUGGUGCUCUGGUUGUUCAGAAUUUAGGCUCGUCGCUGGCGUUGAAGGUGAUAGCUGUGUCACUCCAUGGAUUUGCUGUUGCUACUUGGUAGACUUCGGCGAGUCCGCGGAUUGUUCGCUUUCGCAUGUUGUUUGAUGCGAAGGUCUCGAAGACUGUUGAUACCGUGCUGGUAUUGUUGGAGUGGUUUCCCGGAGCUAGAAGUUCCUCGCCACUUUUGGCCACCUGCCGUAAUAUCCAACAUGCUCGAAGGCUAUGUGUUGGGACGGCUCCCUCUGCACUAUGAAGUUUACAGGGUCCAUUGAGCCAUCCCUCCAGUACGGUGCCGUUUCCCUUAUUGGGUUUCUGUUUUUUUGUUUUUGCAUCUGGGGCCUGAGUGUAAGGCGCCCUUUUACUGCGGACUGGGUUUGGGGCCGGAUUAUCCCAAAAUUGGUUUUCAGUUUUCCGGAAACUAUCCAUCGCACAGUACUUUCGUACUAUGGACGCCAGAUCGGUGAAACGCGUAAUUCUGCGAUGAUCGAUGGCGUUUAGGAUUCCCUUGUCCGUGCAGUUAUUGCAGAAGAUUGAGAUUGCGUUUUCCUCUCGGCAGUCCUUUAUCCUGUCCAUUACCAGGAGGAAUCUGGCCCAGUAAUGAUGUACUGUUUCUGAAGGCUCUUGCCGUAUUAGAGAUAGAUCGCAUAUGUCUGGGCGGGUGGGUGGACUAAAAUCCGGAUCCCUGCCCAUCUUGGGGCUCAAAGGCCGAGGGGUUUCCAAAUUCGAAAGCUUGGUUUGCUGGACACAAUCCAGCAAGUCCGGAGCGAUGCAUGAUUUUAAGUUCAAUGCUCGAUCGAAGUCCGUCCCUCCGCGGGAAUCCGGCGUGGAGGGUUCGGGAAUCCGGACAUGAAUUGUUUUCAACAUGGGCAAAGAGUUGCUGUGUUGCUCUUCUACCACUGUGAUGUGGUGGGUGGCCUGGGGAGAGUUAAUCUCUCUCAGAUCGGUUUUAAGCCAAUUCUGAUUGUAGUCCGUAGCGACUCCCAGGGCUGCGAUGCGAUCCGAGAGCUCGUUAACAGACGAGAACUCUAUUGUGUCCAACUGUUCGGCAGCUUUAGGGCUGACGUGAAGAUUGUUUCCGACGACUUGAGAAGUCAUUGCCGAAGCGGCGGCCGGACAGGCGGUCAUGAGAAAACCACCAAGCCGGAUAGUUUGGCCAGCGGCCAAGGCCCCUCCGACGAAAACACCGUCUUUGAAGACGGGUGGAGGCAUCCGCUCUAUCGGUGACGACACAGAGGAACUCUCAAUGAAAGCACCAAUGUCGGUGUCAAAACCGACAGAUCUCGGGUAGGGGGUCCCGAACUGUGCGUCUAGGCGGAUGGUAACAAGAGACGAGGGACACGAUGUUUUACCCAGGUUCGGGCCCUCUCGAUGGAGGUAAAACCCUGCGUCCUGCUUGAUUAAUAUUGAUGAUAUGGGUAGUACAAGAGUAGAUCUACCACGAGAUCAAGGAGGCUAAACCCUCAAAGCUAGCCUAUGGUAUGAUUGUUGUAAUGUAUGUUGUCCUACGGACUAAAGCUCUCCGGUUUAUAUAGACAUCGGAGGAGGCUAGGGUUACACAGAGUCGGUUACAAUGGUAGGAGAUCUACAUAUCCGUAUUGCCAAGCUUGCCUUCCACGCCAAGGAAAGUCCCAUUCGGACACAGGCCGGAGUCUUCAAUCUUGUAUCUUCGUAGUCUUGGAGUCCGGUAGAUAAUGAUAGUCCGGCUAUCCGGACACCCCCUAGUCCAGGACUCCCUCAGUCACCAUCUGUAUAGUAUGUAUGUAUGUAUAGUAUAUACCCGUGAUCACCUCCCGCGUGAUCACGGCCCAAUAGUAUAGCAAGGCAGACUGACAAGAAUGAAGGGCCAAUGAUGAUAAACUAUCAUCCUAUACUAAGCAUUUAGGAUUGCGGGUAAGGUAUCAAUGACUGUAGCAACAAUGACAGGCUAUGCAACAGAAUAGGAGUAACCGAACAGUGACAUGCUACACUACUCUAAUGCAAGCAGUAUAGAGAAGAAUAGGCGAUAUCUGGUGAUCAAGGGGUGGGCUUGCCUGGUUGCUCUGGCAAGAAGGAGGGGUCGUCAACACCGUAGUCGAACUGGGGUCGUCGGCAGCCUUGGGGUCUACUGGAAAGAAGUAACGGAGGGGGAACACAAUAAAUAAUAGAGCAAUCAAAGUAUCACAAAGUGUAGCAUGGCAAUACGCGGUGCUAGAGGUGACCUAAUGCAGUAGUAGGUGAUACCCGCGAAGUGGGAAAAUAUCCGGGAAAGUAUCCCCGGUGUUUCGCGUUUUCGGACAGAUGAACCGGAGGGGGAAAGUUGCGUGUUUGCUAUGCUAGGGAUGUGUGGCGGACGAACGGGCUGCGUAUCCGAAUUCGUCUGGUCGUUCUGAGCAACUUUCAUGCAGAAAGUAUUUUCAUCUGAGCUACGGUUUAUUUUAUAUUAAUUUUAAAAGAUUUAAAAUCAUUUUAGGAUUAAUUUAGUUAUUUUAAUACAACAUUAUCCAGAACAGUGUUUGCUGACGUCAUCAUGACGUCAGCAUGACGUCAGCAGUCAGCAGAGGUGUUUACUAGUCAAACUGACGUGUGGGUCCCGCGUGUCAUUGACUGAUAAUUAACUAACAAUCAGUUAGGUUAAUUAGUGAUUAGGUUAAUCUAAUUAUGAUUAAUUUAGUUAAUUAAUUCUUUAAUUAAUUAUUUAAUAAAUAUUUUAUUUAUUAUUAUUACUACUACCUAUUUUUUUAUAAAACGUUCUGGUGCUGGGCCCUGUUUCUCAUUGGCCAGGGCCAUAGCGGGCACCGGGCGGUGCGGGCGCAGGGGCACGACCACGAGCGCCCGAUAGGCAGCCCGGGCACUGGCCUCCUGCGAGACCAAUGGCGCGGUCGCCGGCGCCCACGACGCCGGCCAGGGGAGGCGACGGAGGUGCGGGACUAAGGCGAGGGGAGUAGGACGCGGGGGUCGAAGCGCCGGAAUUGGCCGCGGGCGUGGCGGCGUCGCCAACGCAGGGGGGUGCAGGAGCGGGGCGAGGCCAGUGGCCAGGGCGGCAGCGGUGGCCGGCCGGCGUGGGGGGAGAGGGAGUGAGGGGCCAGCGAAGAGCAGGCCCGGACGGCAGAGGAGCAGUAGUAGGAGAGUCGGGGCGCACCAGCAGCAGGGGGACGUGGUGAGUGCGUGGGUGGCCGCGGGCGGCACAGCCGCGGUGAGCGCGAGGCGGAGCGGUACGGUCGUGAGCACGUGCGUACGGGGACAGGGGGGAGAAGAGGGCAGAGGCCGUGGCCUCACCGGGAUUUUUAGGGACGGGGCAGCGGGGCUCGUGGAGGGGGACGGGGACGACGACGUCGACGUAGAUGAGGCAGACCGACGAGGGAGCGCCGGCGACAGGCGGCGGGGCGGCAUCGGGCGCGCGGGGUCGAUGACGGUGUCACACCCUAGCUAGUCAUGCAUUAGAGUGUUGCAUCAUGUUUACUUUUCAUCAGAAACUUGAAAUGGGGAUGACAGAACCCCCAGUCCCCUCUGAAACCAACUAGGGUUUACUAAAAUAAUUUUCAAUGAACCUGAAAUGCCCUUCCAAAAUGCCCAUCAUUUUUGCCUUGGUUCAGAACCUCUGCCAAAAGUGGUGCACAUUUUCCUAGGCCAUCAUAGGGUCUUUGAAUUAAAUCAUAGCUAUUUGAAUUUGGACAUUUAAAAUUAUAUAAAAUAUUUAAAUGCUCAAAUAUCUCCAAACUAAAAUGUUUCAUGUUGGAAAUAAUCCAACUAUGAGCCAGGAGUAGUUUGGUGAUUUUUGGAGAUGGCUAGGUAUUUUAAUUAAUUCAACAAAGUUGCAGUUAUAUUAAAUAAAACAGAAAACAGAAAAAAACUAAAAGGGAGAAGCUUACCUGGGCUCCUCCCUGUUCAGCCCAGCCAGCUGGCCGGCCCAGCCAGCAGCCGGCCCAGCCCACCUCCCUCCUCUGUCGUCUUCGUCCCGACAGAGGGAGGGGAGUGUGGCCGGCGCGCGCGCACGGCCACCGCGCCACGCCACCUGCUCGCCUGCUUGCCUGCCCUCCCCUCCUCGCUCGACGCCCUGGACGACGCCACGCCUCCCCCCUGCUCCCUCUCACUCUCCCCCGUUUCUCCCUCGCUCUCUCUCGCUCUCGGCCGAAGCACACCGUCGCCGCCGUUCGCCUUAGCCACCGCCUCCGGCCACCCCUCGCUCCCCCGAGUAGCUCAGAAGCUCCGCCUCGACUCCCUCUUCCUCCCCACCGCUCCACGAGUCCCCGGAAGCCCUGCAUCGCCGCCACGUCGCCGUUCCCCUCUUCGGACUCCGACCACCGUCGCCGUCAAAUUCGUCGUCUCCGACGCGUCCCCGAGCCCGCUUCGACGCCCACUGCAACCGCGGUGAGCCCCCGAGUCGUUUCCCCCUCUUCUCCCCCUCGUUCCCUCACCGUAGCUGCAUCUCCACCACGGCCGAACCUCCGCCGUCGCCGAGCUCGCCGUCGACGCAGCUCCGGUGACCAUUUGGUCACCCCGGCGAGUCCAACACGUUCGCAAGAACCAAUAGAGCAUCCCUAGCACCUCACUCUGCUCGACUUCGAGCUCCAGCACCACUCCCGUGCACGACCGAACCCCGGCAGCCGCAACCGAGCUCGCCGCCGUCGACUCCGGCCACCCCGACCCCAACGGACUCCGCCAAGAGCCGCGGGUCAUCCUCAGCUUCACUCCGGUGGUCGCCGCGUUCCAUUUGGUGGCCGAAACGACCAAAACCACUAUCGCCGCCGCACUGUUGGUCGCCGCCGGCCAGAACUCCGGCGAGCUGACGUGGCCUAGUUGAUUAACCACUAAUCCACCACCUACUGACGCUGACAAGUGGGCCCCAGGGCUUAGUCAAAGCUAACCAGCCCGGGGUCAACGCGGGAUUAGCCCCUGUGACACUGACGUGUGGACCCCACACGUCAGGUUUGACCCGAGCCAGCCCUGUUGACCUGCUGAUGUCACUAUGAUGUCAGGCUGACGCAGUAAUUGAAUUUCUGGAUUUAAAUUAAAUCAGGAAAUUCCAGAAUAUUAUUUAAACUUCAAAAAUUCAUAACUUUUAUUCUGUAACUCCAAAUUGGACAAUUAAUAUAUGAAAAAUGAUCAGAAAAAUCCAAUCUAUCCAUCUGUACUAUUUUCAUGCAUGAUCAAACAAGUUAACUUGAUGUUUUAAUCAGAACAAGAAAAGGCACUUUAAAAGGCCAUAUUUGAAUUUGAAAUUUGAACCUUUGAUUCAAAUUUGCUCAAACACAUCUGGUUUUAGUUGCAUUAGCCCAACACACUCAUAUUGCCAUGUUUCAUGCAUGCAUCAUAUUGUUGCACAUUGUUUGGUGAUGCCUGUGUAUCGUUACCCUUUGCGACAGGAUCUGUCCCCGAGGAGUACCGUGAUUACCCUAACGAAGAAUCGUAUCCGUGCAACGAACCAUCAGGCAAGCAACCAACCAUUUGAUCAUAUCGAUACAAUCCCAUGUUCUCGCUCCUGCUCUCUUUUACUGCAUUAAGACAACGCGAUUCAAACUGCUGUGUGCUACGGUAGUUGAACCCAUUUCCUCUGCAUGACCUGUCAUUGCCACAGUAACUAGAUGAAACCCACUAGCAUGUGUAGGAGUUGAUUGAGCCAUAUGUAUGUGUUGUUCCUACCUUGCUAUGCCUGCUAUGCUUAGAGUCGUGUCAGGUCUGGUUCAUCUGGGUGAUGGGCUAGAGUGAAAUGUUAAUAUCGGUAAUGAGAGUGGUGUGGUGAACACGAUUUGGUAAAGGUAUCAAUGAGAGGCCAUGUAGGAGUACAUGGUGGGUUGUUUCAUUGAAGCCGACCUUAAGCACUGAGAUCUGUAUGUGUGAUUUAAGAAUCAGCUACUACCAUGCAUUGGGCCCUGAAAUAUGACCCCGCUCGACUUCUUAUUCACCUUAGCUCUCUGUCCAGGAGUUGCAAGUAGUUUCUGGUGUUUGUAGCCUACUGGAGGCCGUGGACAGCGCUGACCGUAGGGGUGGGCUGUGAUGCGGUAGGUACGUGGCACGGUGUACCGAAUACCCGUUAGGUAUCUCGGGAACCCUGUUCACAUCGUUCGGGGCCGUAUGGGAAACCUCGGCCGGACUCCCUGCGGAUGGAACCUGAAUAGGCGAUAAACCUGGACUAGAGGCUUAAGUGUUUAGGUAGGUCGUGGUCUACACCCACGUCGGCUUUCGCUUGAAGUCUGCCGAGCACAUAUCGUGUGCAGACGCUAAGUGGUGGAAACAUGUAUGAAGAAGUACACCCCUGCAGGGUUAACAUGAUCUAUUCGAAUAGCCGCGUCCGCGGUAAAGGACUACUUGGUUGCCUAUACAGUUCAUAGACAAGUAAAUGGAAACUACUAAAAGCCUCAAGAUAAGUGUGAGUGCCGAGGAUGGCUCUUCCUUAGGAAGACGGAGGUGGAUCCUCGGUAGUGUAUUGAAGUGGUGAAUAGUGGACUCGUGUGCGCAAAACUAUUUCAAACUGGAGUAUCGUAGGAUAGUCUAGCCAAGAGUCAAAGCUGGCUUGCUGCAAUAACUCCACCAACCCUUCUUGAUACUAUGCAUGUAUGUAGGAUCCGAUGUAAGUCUUGCUGAGUACCUUUGUACUCAUGUUGCUAUAAUCUACAUUUUUACAGAAGACGCUGCAACCCCUUCUGAUGGGUUCUAUGUAGACGUUGACAUCAACGAGUAGGCUAAAAGACCCAGGUGGUGACCCUGAGCUUGUGAAGGACCACAUAGGAUAGCCAGGCUUUCCAAGCCUCUUUUAUUUUACUAGUUGUCUGUACUCAGACAAGUUACUUCCGCUGUUGGCUUGUAUGAUUGUAUGACUUGUAUGUUGGGUCGUGAGACCCGUAUCUUUGUGGGUAUGUUAUGUAUGGCUCACUGAGCCUUAAAUAAAGUACUUGUGUCGUAGAGUCAUGUUGUGAUGCUUCGUUGUAUUUGCACAUAUCGAGCAUAUUGUGUGUAUGAUUGAAAUGCUUGGUAUGUGUGGGAUCUGACUAUCUAGUUGUUUAUCUUUAGUAGCCUCUCUUACCGGGAAAUGUCUCCUAGUGUUACCGCUGAGCCAUGGUAGCUUGCUACUGCUCUGGAACACUUAGGCUGGCCGGCAUGUGUCCUUCUUCGUUCCUGUGUCUGUCCCUUCGGGGAAAUGUCACGCUUUGAGUACCGGAGUCCUGUUAGCCCGCUACAGCCCGGUUUACCGGAGUCCUGCUAGCCCAGUGCUACAGCCCGGACCCACUUGCUGAUGACCGACACGUUCGAAGCUGGGUCAUGGAUGCCUGUCCCUGUAAGUCUGUGCCACUUUGGGCUUACGACUAGUCAUGUCAGCCCGGGCUCUUUAUCAUAUGGAUGCUAGCGACACUAUCAUAUACGUGAGCCAAAAGGCGCAAACGGUCCCGGGAAAAGGUAAGACGACACCCGUGGGGAUACCGUGCGUGAGGCCGCAAAGUGAUAUGAGGUGUUACCAGCUAGAUCGAUGUGGCAUCGAGUCGGGGUCCUGACAGCGUUGGCAUCAGAGCUGGACUGCCUGUAGGUUCUCCAAGCCAAACUGGUCGAUGUUGAGUCUAGAAAUUCUUUAGUUAUAUGUAGGGGAAUUGUUUGUGGGAUGGAACGUAAGGCUCUUUUUACUCCUUAUACCUUAUGACAUUCUGAUCUGAGUCAGUCCAUUCUUCCACCGGGGGUUAAGGAAUUAGGAUCUGUUCUCUCUAUCAGGAUCACGCGUUACUAAUCAGUAGUACCUUAUAAGUUUGAUGGUUAUCAACCUAGUUCAGUUCUACUACCACAUUAUGUUGUUAGAAUGGAUUCAGAACUUGAUAUGAUGAUGUUGAGUGUGUACGAAAUCCUUUGUCAAAUGUCUCAAUAUCCUUUUUGAGCAUUUACAGCUGUUAUGCUGCCGAAAUUUUGCUAGAAAUUCUAAUGCCUUUGCAUUAUAAUUGUGCUUUCAGAUGGCCACUCGCGACCUCAAUCAAGUGGUUCGCCUGACCCGAUGCCUAGAUGUACCCGGCCAUACUGCCAAGUUGGUUAGGGUAAUGACUGAGGCUGGAUACCGCUGGUAUCCUGAGUACACGGUCGAAGAGCAAUUCCGAGACUUUAAUCAAAGCCAGUAUCUCUGCACUGUCAGGAUAUUUCCAUCUUAUCCUGGAUCCACUGAGCCUCUUCACUGCUCCUAUGGACUCGGGGUUACUAUCGAGAUGGCUGUGCAGGAUGCCGCCUACUCUAUGAUGACCAUUAUGCGAGUCAGAUCUGGGUUAUUUCGGGACUCUGAUUUCCGGUAUAUGCCAGGAUCACUUCCGGGAGCACAAGGGUAUCUCCAGGCUAUCUACGCUGACUCCACUCAGGAGGAUUCACGGACUCGCACCACUGCUGAAAUGCUCGAGGAUAAGGACCGUGAAAAUCAGGCCUUAAGGUUAGAGCUCUUCAAUACCCGUGCCGAUCACUGGGCCACUUUGACUCGGUUCGCACCGGCGGUGCAAGCUGGAUUUUCAGAUAUGCGCGAUCUCUAUCCUGUGAGAUCUGCUCUGCCAGACGUGAUGGUUUGGCGUGAUGUAGGAGGCAUCACCCCACCUUGCGGUCCCCGCAGGCCACCGUUUGUUGGUCCAAGGCCUCAUCCUAGCCCCUAUGGUCCACAAGCUCCGCGAGAUCGUCUGUUUCCGGAUGAACAUGUUGAGCUUCCAGGCUAUGGAGGUGACUUCUACGAGGACUACUACAGAUCGGUCUGAGUUAGUAGUAGUAUCACUAGUUCGCACUAGCUGUGUCGUCUGUUGUCCUGCGUGUCUCGUGGGAUAUGACCUAGUUUGUACUCUUUCCGGAGAUGUAGAAAAAUAAUGUAUAGGAGCUUGAAAUGCCUCCGAUGAGAUGUAAUCCUCUUUUCACCUUGUUAGUACUUUGCUUGGUCUUGUACUAAACCUGUAUGGUGUGUAUGACGAUGGAAUAAAGAAGCAGUUUUCUGUAUCUACCAUGUCAUACGGAUGAUCAUCUUGCAUUUCGAGUUAUUCCUUACAUUCUAUAUCCUAUGUCGGAAUUUUAUCAUUCUGACUAAAUCAUUGUCUUGUUUACCUAAGAUGGUCAACACACGCGCUAAUCCUGCUUCCCAAGAGCAGGCCGAAGGCAGUGAAGCCAGGAAUGAAAAUCUGCCUCAUCCUCCUUCACUAGCCGAGGUUAUGAUGGAAGCUGAGAGAAACAAGCGGGAGACAAACCGUUUGUUGGAGCGUAUAGAACAGAAUACAGCACACCAUCAGAGGGCUAACGUGGUGUCACUCAGUGAUUUUAUCAAGUUGCAUCCACCCACGUUCCACCACUCCGUCGAGCCUCUUGACGCUGAUGACUGGCUUCGCAGUAUCUCUCACAAACUGCGUUCCGCGCUGGUAGCGGAGGCUGACAAGGUCACCUUUGCUGCAUAUCAUCUUGAAGGCCCCGCCAGUCUAUGGUGGGAGAAUUAUGGAGCUAUGCGCCCCGCAGGCCAUGUCACAACUUGGGCUGAAUUCAGCGACGCUUUCCGUGAGCAUCACAUUCCGGAGGGUCUCAUGGACCGUAAGCGUGAAGAAUUUUGCAAUUUCACCCAGGGCCGACUUUCUGUGGAUGUCUAUAGCAGGGAGUUUGGUAAUCUUGCACGAUAUGCAACCGAGGAAGUUUCUACUGACGCCAAGAAGCAAGCAAGGUUCCGCAAGGGCCUUAGUCCUGAGCUUCGCCGCGACCUCCGUCUGCAUGAGUGCACAUCCUUUUCGAAACUUGUCAACAAAGCCAUCAGUGCUGAAACUGGUCAGACUGACUACGACGCAACACGCAAGCAUGGACGUGACAUGGGUUCUUCAUCCGGUGCUGGUCCUCAGAAGCGCCGCGUGUGGGUACCCAACACCGCCCUGCCACCCAGGUUCACACCGAGGCCAUCUUUCCAGGCGCCUCGCCCUGUUCAACAGUCUGCACCGGCCAAGCCCUAUGGGGGUCCAACCAAUAAUGCUCCUCCACGUACCAGUUCCGUGACUUGUUUCAAGUGUGGGGAAUCUGGUCAUUAUAUGCGGGAGUGCCCCCAGACCAACCCCAAUCAAUCUGCUAAAGCUGUUGGCCGUGGCAAGCCGACAGGAAAAGUGUUUCAUGCCAAACCGGUCACCGCUUCACGUGGCCAUGUCAACUGUGUCUCUGCCGAAGAAGCUCAAGAAGAUCCCAACGUCGUUCUCGGUACGCUUCUUGUUAAUUGCCAUCCGGCAUCUGUUCUUUUCGAUACAGGAGCCUCUCAUUCUUUUAUAUCUGAAAAUUAUGCUCGUUUGCAUAACGUUGCAUUCUGUGACUUGCCAUCCUCUAUGGUAAUUCAAACUCCGGGAUCCAAAUGGCAAACUUCUAGAGUAAGCCAUGGAAAUGAAAUCCAAGUCGACAGACUUGUUUUUCUUGCAUCUUUGAUAGCCCUUAAAUCUUCAGAUAUUAAUAUCAUUUUGGGUAUGGACUGGAUGUCAGCCCAUCAUGCCCAAAUCGAUUGCUUUUCUAGGACUGUUCAACUCACCCAUCCUUCGGGGAAGAUAGUCAAUGUUUUGACUCGAAUAGCCAAGCGACAAUUAUAUUCUCUUAACGCCAACCCUUUGCCAGACCUUGAGGACGUUCCGGUAGUCCGUGACUUUCCGGAUGUCUUUCCAGAGGAAUUGCCAGGUGUUCCACCUGACCGGGAUGUUGAGUUCGUAAUUGACCUCAUUCCAGGAACCGUUCCGAUUGCUAGAAGACCUUAUAAGAUGGCACCAUUAGAACUAGCCGAGCUUAAGAAACAACUCGAUGAAUCCUUGAAAAAGGGUUUCAUCCGCUCUAGUUCAUCUCCGUGGGCCUGCCCCGUCCUAUUCGUCAAGAAGAAGGAUGGUACGGACCGCAUGGUUGUAGAUUACCGACCUGUCAAUUUAGUCACAAUCAAGAACAAAUAUCCACUUCCCAGGAUCAACGAUCUGUAUGAUCAGCUCGCUGGAUCCUCAGUCUUCUCCAAGAUGGAUCUGAGGUUGGGAUACCAUCAAAUCAAAAUCAGGAACGGGGACAUUCCUAAAACGGCCUUUGUUACUCGCUAUGGCCAAUACGAGUACACCGUCAUGUCCUUCGGUUUAACCAACGCUCCAGCCACCUUUUCUCGGUUAAUGAACUCAAUCUUCAUGGAGUAUUUGGAUAAAUUCGUCGUAGUUUAUCUCGAUGAUAUACUCAUCUACUCCAAGAACGAGGAAGAACACGCCGAACAUCUAAGGCUAGUGUUGCAGAAACUUCGAGAGCAUCGCCUUUAUGCCAAAUUUUCAAAAUGUGAAUUCUGGUUGCCAGAAGUGACCUAUCUGGGUCAUGUAAUAUCUGGUAAAGGUAUCGCUGUUAACCCUGAGCGAGUUCAAGCCGUCCUUGACUGGACUCCACCUGAAUCUGUCAAGCAAGUUCGGAGUUUUCUAGGAUUAGCGAGCUAUUGCCGUCGCUUUGUCGAGAACUUCUCCAAAGUUGCUAAACCCCUAACCGAACUCUUCAAGAAAGAUAAGAAGUUCGAAUGGACUCCACAAUGUGAGCACAGCUUUCAGGAACUGAAAAGACGCCUGACUUCUGCUCCCGUGCUGGUACCGCCAGACUUCUCCAAAGACUUUGUUAUCUACUGCGACGCCUCGCGACAAGGACUAGGUUGCAUUCUUAUGCAAGAUCGACACGUAAUUGCCUACGCUUCACGGCAAUUGCACCCACAUGAGGAGAAUUAUCCUACCCAUGAUCUAGAACUUGCAGCCGUAGUCUAUGCACUUAAGACCUGGCGACAUUACCUCCUCGGUAAUCGUUGCGAAAUAUUCACUGAUCACCAAAGCCUGAAGUACAUCUUCACCCAACCGGAUCUGAAUCUCAGGCAAAGACGUUGGGUUGAAUUGAUCACAGACUUCGACUUAGGAAUAACCUAUACCCCAGGGAAAGCCAACGUCAUGGCUGAUGCGCUAAGUCGUAAAUCUUAUUGUAACAACCUGAUGUUACAACAAAGUCAACCGCUUCUCCAUGAGGAAUUUCGGAAGCUUAACCUUCACAUUGUACCUCAAGGUUUUCUUUCCACCUUGGUGGCAAAACCUACACUUACGGAUCAAAUCAUCGCUGCCCAAAAGCGAGAUAAGGGAAUCUCUAAAAUCAAAGAGAACAUUGCUAGCAGAGGUGCUAGUUGUUUCUCCACUAAUGAUCAUGGUGUUGUGUACUUUGAGAACCGUCUAGUGGUUCCCAAGAACCAGCAUCUACGGCAGUUGAUCCUUAAGGAGGCCCAUGAAUCUCCUCUCACCAUUCAUCCCGGUAGUACUAAAAUGUAUCAGGACCUACGCCAGAGGUUCUGGUGGACUAGGAUGAAGAGAGAAAUUGCUCAGUAUAUUGCCAAUUGCGACGUCUGCCGUCGUGUAAAAGCAGAGCAUCAACGGCCUGCUGGCACCCUUCAACCCUUAGCUAUUCCUGAAUGGAAAUGGGAUAAAAUUGGUAUGGAUUUCAUUACCGGCUUUCCCAGGACCAAAAGAGGGAAUAAUGCUAUCUUCGUCGUGGUCGAUCGUCUUUCCAAAGUAGCUCAUUUCUUACCUGUUCGUGAGAGUAUAACCGCUAGCCAGCUGGCAGACUUAUACAUCUCCCGAAUAGUGUCCCUUCAUGGUGUUCCUUUGGAAAUCAAUUCGGAUCGAGGAAGUCUUUUCACCUCUCGAUUUUGGGAAAGUUUCCAAAAUGCUAUGGGAACCCGUCUCUCCUUUAGUACCGCUUUCCACCCUCAGUCAAGUGGUCAAGUGGAACGCGUCAAUCAGAUUCUAGAAGACAUGCUUCGAGCCUCCGUUAUCUCUUUCGGAAUGGACUGGGAGAAGUGCCUUCCAUUUGCCGAAUUCGCUUACAACAACAGCUAUCAAUCUAGCUUGGGUAAAGCCCCUUUUGAAGUUCUCUAUGGACGACGAUGUCGAACACCCCUUAACUGGUCAGAGACCGGGGAAAGACAAUUCUUUGGCCCGGAUAUGAUUCAGGAAGCAGAAGAACAAGUUCGUAUCGUUCGUGAAAAGUUGAAAACAGCCCAAUCCCGUCAAAAGAGUCAAUAUGACCGAAAACAUAGGACUAUGACUUUCGAGGUUGACGAGAAGGCUUAUCUUCGGGUCACCCCUCUGAAGGGAACCCAACGUUUCGGUAUCAAAGGCAAAUUGGCUCCUCGUUACAUUGGACCUUUUCGCAUUCUUGCCAAACGAGGAGAAGUUGCCUACCAGUUGGAACUACCUCCGCACCUCUCCAGGGUUCACGAUGUCUUCCACGUCUCUCAACUCAGGCGUUGCUUCUCGGAUCCUAUCCGUGAAGUGGACCACGAAACGCUUGAUCUCCAAGAUAAUCUUACAUAUCGAGAGUACCCCAUUCGUAUCCUCGAUCAAGCCGAACGUACCACGCGACGUCAUAAUAUCAAGUUUCUCAAGGUUCAAUGGUCGCACCAUUCUGAAGAUGAAGCAACUUGGGAAAGGGAGGAUCAUCUUCGACUUGAAUAUCCCGCCUUCUUCUCGGAGGAACCCAAAUCUCGGGACGAGAUUCUUUUGAGUGGGGGUGAGUUGUCACACCCUAGCUAGUCAUGCAUUAGAGUGUUGCAUCAUGUUUACUUUUCAUCAGAAACUUGAAAUGGGGAUGACAGAACCCCCAGUCCCCUCUGAAACCAACUAGGGUUUACUAAAAUAAUUUUCAAUGAACCUGAAAUGCCCUUCCAAAAUGCCCAUCAUUUUUGCCUUGGUUCAGAACCUCUGCCAAAAGUGGUGCACAUUUUCCUAGGCCAUCAUAGGGUCUUUGAAUUAAAUCAUAGCUAUUUGAAUUUGGACAUUUAAAAUUAUAUAAAAUAUUUAAAUGCUCAAAUAUCUCCAAACUAAAAUGUUUCAUGUUGGAAAUAAUCCAACUAUGAGCCAGGAGUAGUUUGGUGAUUUUUGGAGAUGGCUAGGUAUUUUAAUUAAUUCAACAAAGUUGCAGUUAUAUUAAAUAAAACAGAAAACAGAAAAAAACUAAAAGGGAGAAGCUUACCUGGGCUCCUCCCUGUUCAGCCCAGCCAGCUGGCCGGCCCAGCCAGCAGCCGGCCCAGCCCACCUCCCUCCUCUGUCGUCUUCGUCCCGACAGAGGGAGGGGAGUGUGGCCGGCGCGCGCGCACGGCCACCGCGCCACGCCACCUGCUCGCCUGCUUGCCUGCCCUCCCCUCCUCGCUCGACGCCCUGGACGACGCCACGCCUCCCCCCCUGCUCCCUCUCACUCUCCCCCGUUUCUCCCUCGCUCUCUCUCGCUCUCGGCCGAAGCACACUGUCGCCGCCGUUCGCCUUAGCCACCGCCUCCGGCCACCCCUCGCUCCCCCGAGUAGCUCAGAAGCUCCGCCUCGACUCCCUCUUCCUCCCCACCGCUCCACGAGUCCCCGGAAGCCCUGCAUCGCCGCCACGUCGCCGUUCCCCUCUUCGGACUCCGACCACCGUCGCCGUCAAAUUCGUCGUCUCUGACGCGUCCCCGAGCCCGCUUCGACGCCCACUGCAACCGCGGUGAGCCCCCGAGUCGUUUCCCCCUCUUCUCCCCCUCGUUCCCUCACCGUAGCUGCAUCUCCACCACGGCCGAACCUCCGCCGUCGCCGAACUCGCCGUCGACGCAGCUCCGGUGACCAUUUGGUCACCCCGGCGAGUCCAGCACGUUCGCAAGAACCAAUAGAGCAUCCCUAGCACCUCACUCUGCUCGACUUCGAGCUCCAGCACCACUCCCGUGCACGACCGAACCCCGGCAGCCACAACCGAGCUCGCCGCCGUCGACUCCGGCCACCCCGACCCCAACGGACUCCGCCAAGAGCCGCGGGUCAUCCUCAGCUUCACUCCGGUGGUCGCCGCGUUCCAUUUGGUGGCCGAAACGACCAAAACCACUAUCGCCGCCGCACUGUUGGUCGCCGCCGGCCAGAACUCCGGCGAGCUGAUGUGGCCUAGUUGAUUAACCACUAAUCCACCACCUACUGACGCUGACAAGUGGGCCCUAGGGCUUAGUCAAAGCUAACCAGCCCGGGGUCAACGCGGGAUUAGCCCCUGUGACACUGACGUGUGGACCCCACACGUCAGGUUUGACCCGAGCCAGCCCUGUUGACCUGCUGAUGUCACUAUGAUGUCAGGCUGACGCAGUAAUUGAAUUUCUGGAUUUAAAUUAAAUCAGGAAAUUCCAGAAUAUUAUUUAAACUUCAAAAAUUCAUAACUUUUAUUCUGUAACUCCAAAUUGGACAAUUAAUAUAUGAAAAAUGAUCAGAAAAAUCCAAUCUAUCCAUCUGUACUAUUUUCAUGCAUGAUCAAACAAGUUAACUUGAUGUUUUAAUCAGAACAAGAAAAGGCACUUUAAAAGGCCAUAUUUGAAUUUGAAAUUUGAACCUUUGAUUCAAAUUUGCUCAAACACAUCUGGUUUUAGUUGCAUUAGCCCAACACACUCAUAUUGCCAUGUUUCAUGCAUGCAUCAUAUUGUUGCACAUUGUUUGGUGAUGCCUGUGUAUCGUUACCCUUUGCGACAGGAUCUGUCCCCGAGGAGUACCGUGAUUACCCUAACGAAGAAUCGUAUCCGUGCAACGAACCAUCAGGCAAGCAACCAACCAUUUGAUCAUAUCGAUACAAUCCCAUGUUCUCGCUCCUGCUCUCUUUUACUGCAUUAAGACAACGCGAUUCAAACUGCUGUGUGCUACGGUAGUUGAACCCAUUUCCUCUGCAUGACCUGUCAUUGCCACAGUAACUAGAUGAAACCCACUAGCAUGUGUAGGAGUUGUUUGAGCCAUAUGUAUAUGUUGUUCCUACCUUGCUAUGCCUGCUAUGCUUAGAGUCGUGUUAGGUCUGGUUCAUCUGGGUGAUGGGCUAGAGUGAAAUGUUAAUGUUGGUAAUGAGAGUGGUGUGGUGAACACGAUUUGGUAAAGGUAUCGAUGAGAGGCCAUGUAGGAGUACAUGGUGGGUUGUUUCAUUGAAGCCGACCUUAAGCACUGAGAUCUGUAUGUGUGAUUUAAGAAUCAGCUACUACCAUGCAUUGGGCCCUGAAAUAUGACCCCGCUCGACUUCUUAUUCACCCUAGCUCUCUGUCCAGGAGUUGCAAGUAGUUUCUGGUGUUUGUAGCCUACUGGAGGCCGUGGACAGCGCUGACCGUAGGGGUGGGCUGUGAUGCGGUAGGUACGUGGCACGGUGUACCGAAUACCCGUUAGGUAUCUCGGGAACCCUGUUCACAUCGUUCGGGGCCGUAUGGGAAACCUCGGCCGGACUCCCUGCGGGUGGAACCUGAAUAGGCGAUAAACCUGGACUAGAGGCUUAAGUGUUUAGGUAGGUCGUGGUCUACACCCACGUCGGCUUUCGCUUGAAGUCUGCCGAGCACAUGUCGUGUGCAGACGCUAAGUGGUGGAAACAUGUAUGAAGAAGUACACCCCUGCAGGGUUAACAUGAUCUAUUCGAAUAGCCGCGUCCGCGGUAAAGGACUACUUGGUUGCCUAUACAGUUCAUAGACAAGUAAAUGGAAACUACUAAAAACCUCAAGAUAAGUGUGAGUGCCGAGGAUGGCUCUUCCGUAGGAAGACGGAGGUGGAUCCUCGGUAGUGUAUUGAAGUGGUGAAUAGUGGACUCGUGUGCGCAAAACUAUUUCAAACUGGAGUAUCGUAGGAUAGUCUAGCCAAGAGUCAAAGCUGGCUUGCUGCAAUAACUCCACCAACCCUUCUUGAUACUAUGCAUGUAUGUAGGAUCUGAUGUAAGACUUGCUGAGUACCUUUGUACUCAUGUUGCUACAAUCUACAUUUUUACAGAAGACGCUGCAACCCCUUCUGAUGGGUUCUAUGUAGACGUUGACAUCAACGAGUAGGCUAAAAGACCCAGGUGGUGACCCUGAGCUUGUGAAGGACCACAUAGUAUAGCCAGGCUUUCCAAGCCUCUUUUAUUUUACUAGCUGUCUGUACUCAGACAAGUUACUUCCGCUGUUGGCUUGUAUGAUUGUAUGACUUGUAUGUUGGGUCGUGAGACCCGUAUCUUUGUGUGUAUGUUAUGUAUGGCUCACUGAGCCUUAAAUAAAGUACUUGUGUCGUAGAGUCAUGUUGUGAUGCUUCGUUGUAUUUGCACAUAUCGAGCAUAUUGUGUGUAUGAUUGAAAUGCUUGGUAUGUGUGGGAUCUGACUAUCUAGUUGUUUAUCUUUAGUAGCCUCUCUUACCGGGAAAUGUCUCCUAGUGUUACCGCUGAGCCAUGGUAGCUUGCUACUGCUCUGGAACACUUAGGCUGGCCGGCAUGUGUCCUUCUUCGUUCCUGUGUCUGUCCCUUCGGGGAAAUGUCACGCUUUGAGUACCGGAGUCCUGCUAGCCCAGUGCUACAGCCCGGACCCACUUGCUGAUGACCGACACGUUCGAAGCUGGGUCAUGGAUGCCUGUCCCUGUAAGUCUGUGCCGCUUUGGGUUUACGACUAGUCAUGUCAGCCCGGGCUCUUUAUCAUAUGGAUGCUAGCGACACUAUCAUAUACGUGAGCCAAAAGGCGCAAACGGUCCCGGGCAAAGGUAAGGCGACACCCGUGGGGAUACCGUGCGUGAGGCCGCAAAGUGAUAUGAGGUGUUACCAGCUAGAUCGAUGUGACAUCGAGUCGGGGUCCUGACAGACGGGGAGGCGAUCCAGUCAGCGGCACGAUCGACGCGUGGCGUGGCCGCGGCUUCCGGCGGCGUCGCGCGAGGGAGAGGUGGGGCGAGGAGUCAACGGGGGGCGGGGGCAUGGUCGCCCCGAUCCCGAUCUGGAUCCGGGGAGUGGGGGGAGAGCGAGUGGGGGAGGGAGUGUGUGGUGGGGGGUUAGGGUUCGGUGGGGAGUGGGGGGUUAAGGGGAGGAGUGGGGAUGGGCCGGCCAGGUGGUUUGGCCCAAUGGUCUGCUGGGCCAGAGCCCGGGUGGGUUUUCUUUCCUCUUUCUUCUUUGUUUUCUCUUUUGUAUUUUCUUUCUUUUAUUUAUUUUAUUUUCUGUUUUAUUUCAAUUUAAAUUAUUUAGGCAUUUUAUAAAAAUGUGUUUAUUACACCAUAUCUACAUAUGAAAUUUUUAGUACAAACCGAACAUUUUUAUUUUAAUGUUUGAAAACUUUUAUUAUUUACCAAACUUUGAAUUUAAAUUUUGGACCGGUUUUGAUCUAGCGCGAGAUUAGCAAUAGUAACCAGGGUGACGUGGGGAUAUUAACGUGGGAUUACUGUAGCCUAAUUAUCCGGGCGUCACAAUUCUCCUCCACUACAAGAAAUCUCGUCCCGAGAUUUAAGAGGGGAGUAAAGGGGAAAGUUCUGAUUACGAAAUUCUAACGAAUCUUCUCGGUCUUGCUUGCUCUUCUCGAAGAGGUCGAUCCAUAACGUUGAUGUUUCCAUUCCUAUGCAUCAAUGCAUCAUGAUGAAGUUGUCGUCCUUCCUUCAGGAUCUUCACCUUACUUACGAAAGGAUAAGAAGGGAACUCCGGGAGAACGGACCCUUGCAAGGUUGACUAUCUAGUAGAUAACAUCGGGGAAGGUGGCGGAAAGUAACUCUCGAAUUGAACCCUUAGAAAAUAUCGAGAGCAAAUUAAGAAGGUAUCAUGAGAAGUUUCUAGCGGGCAGGAAUGUUCGAUGCCUGUUACAGGGCGUGAAAGGGGUUCAAAGCAACGGGAAUAAGUAUUGUGUCUGAUAUCAGACUUGAAGGUGGCUCGUGAAUUACAUACGAGGCCACGGACGAGGAAUAACUUUGACAAUAAGGUGUACAGGAGAGUCAGGUUUUGAUCCUGUGGAAAUGUGGGUUAUGGGCCCACCAUGUGGGUUAAAGGUAGAAAGGGCGGUAAUGGCUCACACGAUCAUGUAAGCAAGACAUGUCAGAGGAUAGCCUGUCAGUUAUGUCGGCAACAACAUCGGUACCAAGGGCGAGGGACGAAGAGAACCAUUUUCCUGCUCGUUGAAACGAGGCGGACCAAUAGGCAAAGUUCUCUUGCAUCGGUGGUUACCAGAAUGUUAUCAACAAUAGUAACAGGGUCUUACAGACAGAGUUGUACACCGAGAUGUGUGCACAAGCAGGGAAUUAUUACUGCUUAUAUCAUAUAGAUCAAAGUAAGGGUUUAAACAAACCUAUGGAAAGGGGAAAGUGACUAUCAGAAUUAAUCAGAACCAUAGAAAGAAAAAUGUGUUUAAACACAUAUUUCAGGGGUAUAUCCUUCCCAAGGACAAGCAGAGCAUGAUAUCCAUGGCAGGAUAUGAAGUAGAAAACCCUUCAGGAAAAGGGGAGAGAAAUUUCAUGACAUUACCCAUACAAUGGUGUUUGGAUAAUUGAUCCAGAAACAUUUAGCAUUGUGCUACAAAUGUUCUUAUUGAAGAUAGGAGUACCACAUACAUGCUUCGAGAUAGCAUUGACAUGGUAUUCAAGCAAAGGUUGGACUUUGGAUACACAAAGGAUCCAUCAUGAUAAACUUAUUAAACAAGGCAUUCAAUUUCCUCAUGGAAAAAUGGUUAACCUUGUUAAAAAAAGGAAACUAUAACAAUAGGUUCUCCGGCCAGGUGCGCUAGGCAUGAGAUCACCAUAGCGGGUCAUAUAAAGAAAUGUUAUAACUCUUGGAAAUAUGUUCCAACCGUCACAUCUGACCAAGGUUCAGAUUCGAUUGGCGUUAGGAUACCUCAGACUCAUGAUUUCUAAGAAGGAUGGGGUGCAACACAAUUUUACGAGAUGGCAUUGCAAGAUCCUCAGGAAAUGAAUUAUGGAAGCAAGUACUGAAUCAUGAGUUCAUCAUUAAACCAAGGAGAAGAAGAGGAUGUGGCUGAUGGACUCAGCGACAAUACAUUGAGAUUUCCAAAAGGUGGAUCUCCACAAUUAUGUGAACAAGGAGAUAGCUUUUGUCAGUGCAAAUGAUAUAAUGAGGUAUGCUCGAAGAAACAUACACGAUUAAACAUUGGUUGACGGUGCACACGAAUACGAACUUAGGUAGCACAAACAAUGUUAGAAUGGCGAUUCGAUAACCAAUAGUCUAAGAAUGAAAUGUUGACCAUUAACUUCAAAGCAAUAAGGUUGCUAGAAGUUGUUUUUUUUUUAAAUUACUAGUCCAUCUGUCAGUAUUCCUGUUAGGAACAACACGGGGACCAAGAAAAGAAUGGUGAUGGUGAAGUAUCACUUAUAUCAAGAAUUCUCAAGAGGUGGUGAAAUUCUCACAGCCUUCUUGAUAUAUAAGAUGGUAAUACUCCAAGGUAGGACAUACGACAAGUUGGAUUGCCAGGAACUCAAGGUAUAACACAAAACAAGAACACGUUUUGUGUUGGAGGGAAUGCAAGAAUGUUGUGGAUGAUAACUCAAAUCACCGGGGGCAAAGGAUGCUAUUUCACAUCAUGAAUUUGAUUGAUAUCCUGGAAGAGCUCAAAAUGUUGAUGAUGAUCACGACACCUUUGUCGAGAGGUUUCAUGAAGAUAUAAUUGCUCAUCGACAACAUCAAGCAAGAGGAAGGAUGGACCAAAAAGUUAUUGAAACCAUGGAUAUAACACAAACUCGGAAUCAAGCUUGAUGUUCAUGGCAAAAUGAUAUGACGAGGAAAGUCGACGUAAGUUUAGCUCAUCGUCAAAAAUUAUGCUUCGGGAGGAAGGACCAGGUAGCACAGUUAAAAAGUUGCACGAUAAUGAUAUAGCCGAUCAGGCUAGGAAUGACUUGAAGGAUUAUUAAAUCAUAAGCAACGAAAAUUAUUUAAGAGUUAUUGAAUCGGAGUGCGGAAUCGAUUCACUUAUAGGUGUUUUGGGUUGACAAACAACCCAGCACCCCUGAAGUGAUAACGAUAGGGAAAGGUAGUACUGCAUCAAAAAUUCAUAAGAUGUAGAGCAAUGGCAUGAUAUCCUCGAGAUACCAGGGGUAAUACUCGAAGGUAGAUCAUAAUAGAGGUCGGGCAGACACAUUGAUCUGUAGAAGAAAAAUGUUUUAACUUGUCUGAAAAAUGGGAUUAAAGAAGAACAAUCAUGGUCGGAACCACGGUUGCAAAGGAUCAAUUCACAGAUACCAUGUGAUAGUUAUCAAGGAAAUAGUUAUUAUUACAAGAAGCUUCCAUGAUAGGAUAUACAUCGUGUCCAUGGGCAUGAACGCAAAGUUCAAGGUCGACUCCUACUUCUUCAAUGCAUAACCUUUCAUUCACUUCUCGCAUUUGAUGAAGUUGCAGUGUUGAAAUUUUAUCUGGCAAAAUACCAGAAGAGUAUGACUCAUGAAAACUUUUGAGUUCACACAUAUUAUGGAAGGCAUAGGUUCGACCCAUCGGGGGAUCGUGGAAACAUAUACCACAAGCUUCAAUAGUAAAUAUCACCAGCUCGAAAGCAGAGCAUGGUUGGCCAAAUCAAGGAAUAUGAUUUACCAGAGGCAUUAUGUAUCAGGGAAAGAACUUCCAAAGUGAUUGAAUAUGAAGGACGUUGUCGGAUAAAAUCCAACAAGGUUCUGAUGGUCCAUAAAGGAUCUGAUGUGAGUAUCGGCUCACAACCAGAGAAAGAAUCAAUGCAAAGACAUUGGAUUAUAGAAACAACGGAGUAACUUAGAGCUCAAUUGCAAAGGAAUUAUGAUUUACAAAGCGAAGGAUCAGAAGCAGACGCUCUGAUCAAAGAUGGAUAAGUUCAAUAUACUUAGGGGCACAAUCGACGACAAUUUGAUUGGCGAGAACCAGCUCACGUUUAAAAUGACGCCUGAGCCGGAAGGAUGAAUUCUAGGAUCUGAUUGAGGAUUGCGAGCAUUCGCAACAAAUUGAAUCAAUGGACUCAAAAUGAUAAUGACAAGGGAUGCCAAUAAGAUUACGGAACUUACGGGAUUAAACAUAAUGCAAGCAAGCAAGAAUUUCAAGAGCAAUAGACAACUUAAGAUUUUUGAAAGAUCGGAUAGUAUCUCGAAGACUUGUGUGAAACACAUGAACAACUGGGAAUGAGCAAAUAUCCGAUGAGUGCUAGAAAUUAUCCAUAGUGGUAUUCAUGUGGCAAAGAACAGCAAGGCAGUAAGCUCAAAGUAUUCUCGGAACAACAUAGAGAAUUUCGGGGUAUCUUGUAAUAACAAGAUCAACUGGGAAGCAUCAUAUGAACGGUGAGUAUACGUGGUUAUCCACAGGGGUUUAUCGAUGGAAGGGAAUUGCAAAAGCAACGCCAUAAAGUCUCAAUAGAACAUCGGAGAGCAUCUUCGGAUUCUUCUGGUGCAGCAGACGAUUAUCUGUAAUAAGGGGCUCUCCAGGAGAAAGUAUUAUCGAGAACCUAGAGUCAGAGUUAGUAAAAUCGUUUACCCCGAAUAGAAGAGGUGUCAGAGUCCCAGAGUAUAGGAUGAGGAAUAAAAGAUCCUACUACCACCCAAUGGCAACGUGUGCCCGUAAGACACAUAGCCAUGUUAGUAAAAGUUUUGCAAUGUCUAGACUCGACUUCGGCCAAGGAGUUGGAAAGGGGGAUUCCUACAGACAGUCCGCUCUGAUACCAACUUGUGACGCCCCCGAUUCAAUUGUACACUAAUCAUGCACGUACGAGGAUAGGGGGGAGAAGAGGGCGGAGGCCGUGGCCUCACCGGGAUUUGUAGGGACGGGGCAGCGGGGCUCGUGGAGGGGGACGGGGACGAUGACGUCGACGUAGAUGAGGCAGACCGACGAGGGAGGGACGACGACGGGCGGCGGGGCAGCGUUGGGCGCGCGGGGUCGAUGACGGGGAGGCGAUCCAGUCAGCGGCAUGGUCGACGCGUGGCGUNNNNNNNNNNNNNNNNNNNNNNNNNNNNNNNNNNNNNNNNNNNNNNNNNNNNNNNNNNNNNNNNNNNNNNNNNNNNNNNNNNNNNNNNNNNNNNNNNNNNNNNNNNNNNNNNNNNNNNNNNNNNNNNNNNNNNNNNNNNNNNNNNNNNNNNNNNNNNNNNNNNNNNNNNNNNNNNNNNNNNNNNNNNNNNNNNNNNNNNNNNNNNNNNNNNNNNNNNNNNNNNNNNNNNNNNNNNNNNNNNNNNNNNNNNNNNNNNNNNNNNNNNNNNNNNNNNNNNNNNNNNNNNNNNNNNNNNNNNNNNNNNNNNNNNNNNNNNNNNNNNNNNNNNNNNNNNNNNNNNNNNNNNNNNNNNNNNNNNNNNNNNNNNNNNNNNNNNNNNNNNNNNNNNNNNNNNNNNNNNNNNNNNNNNNNNNNNNNNNNNNNNNNNNNNNNNNNNNNNNNNNNNNNAUUUAUUUUAUUUUCUGUUUUAUUUCAAUUUAAAUUAUUUAGGCAUUUUAUAAAAAUGUGUUUAUUACACCAUAUUUGCAUAUGCAAUUUUUAGUACAAACCGAACAUUUUUAUUUUAAUGUUUGAAAACUUUUAUUAUUUACGAAACUUUGAAUUUGAAUUUUGGACCGGUUUUGAUCUAGCGCGAGAUUAGCAAUAGUAACCAGGGUGACGUGGGGACAUUAACGUGGGAUUACUGUAGCCUAAUUAUCCGGGCGUCACACCAGGAACACCAUCCCUCAGCCGCCGACGCAUCCAAGUCAUCAUAGAGGGGACCACUAUCCCCUCUGGCCCAGGCCAAGGGUGUCGACCCUCCGGACAGACUGGACCACGUGACGAGGAGGGCAAGACGUGUUCAAGGGGAGGCCGACCGAACUUGGCGAGGUGACACCCCUAAAGAGAAAACCGCUGCCAUCAGGAACACCGAGAACACGCUGGAGCUGUCCCGUAUCCCCAUAGACCCAAAGCGGUGCCUUCAAGAAGGUGACGGAGCCAGGCACCUCCGCUGCCCAACCAAAGUUGUCGGUGUUCACCCGGUGCAGGGGGAGGACGACGGGAGGGAGCUGGAUCUCGAAGCCGCCUUCAAGAAGGAAACAACGCCUGGAGCACCGCCGAUGUCAUGGCCGCCAUAGCCGGCCAAGAAAUUUCUCCGAUCCAAAGCUCCCAACCCCACAUCCGCGCAGUCAGCCACCGGAUCCAGUCGGACUGACGAGGAGGAAGCAGCAGCAUGGGGUUGUUGUCUUCAGAUCUGGCGAAGGGGAGCAGCAGGGGAUCCCACCACGUGGCACCGCGUCCACCGCCGACUCGCCGCCCAUGCGGCCGAGAAGUGGCGGCCCACAACACUGGCGAGCACCGCCCACUGCCGGGAUGACGCCGCCCUCACCAGCAGAGGCUGCCGCCUCAAACAUAGGCCCGAGCCUGAGCAGCGUCGCGGCCAAGGGCCUCGCCGCCACCCUAAUUGGCAGCCGCACAGGGGACACCGGUGCCCGUCUCCGGCGGCGGCGAGGGAAGGGAUUGAGAGGGAGGGGGGAGGCGGACAGGGAGGUUGGUCGCCCCCGAGUCGCCCUCGAGAGGGCGACACGAGGGAGCUGAGAGGGGAAUUUCCAAGUUCUUCUUUCUUGUUGACCUGAUCCGGCAUCCUCGUGACGUAGUCACCUGUGUCUGGCCAGAUGAUGAUAGACGCCGUCACACCAAGAGGGCCCUAAGAAUAUCUCUCCAUUGUUGGAGGAGCAAAUCCGACUCUUGAGUUAUCCGGUCACUUGUCAAACUUUCUGGUGAACCUGAAAGUUGUCGUUAUGAUCACCUUGUUAUAGAUGACGUUUGAGCAACCCCAGAGCCCACCGUCUGGUAGGAAGUGACUGAGAUACUCUCAUGGUCUGAGGAACUAAAACACAUGCUAACACACUGUGUUAUAACACAUGAUUUUAGACGAUAUAAUCACAAAGUAUAACAAACAAGUAUUGGGUCGACUCAAUUUGCUCAUUCUUCUAAUGUCAUAUCCUCAAUGUUGUUUUAGGGCUAUCGUUACACUUAAUGAUAUCCUCGGAAAAUAUGAUCACCAACAACACUUGAGCGAGUCUUAGAGGUGAGACCGGGAACCUGUUGUUACCUUUUAUCAUUCCACACAUGCAUAUGAGUUUUCUAUCGGAUUACGGGUUCCGCAAAUCCUUGAGAAGUUUGAACUCUGGGGUGCGUGGGAGAUCUCAACCUACCCAGCCUGCCUACUCGCGAUCCUCCUAAGCCUAGCACGACGAGCUCGAAGAGACACAUCAGUUUAUCCUGGUUCGGGCCACCUUGCGGUGUAAUAACCUACUCCAGCGUUUUGGUGGAUUGUCUCGGAGGGCUGAGGAUGAACUAGUAUAGUGGAUGAACCAACCUCAGGAGGUGAGGUAUCCUUGAGCUCAAGAGAGCUAAGGGGAUGUGAACUAGAUGUCCCCCUCUAUGGUGGUGGCUAAGUCCUAUUUAUAGUGGCCUUGGUCCUCUUCCCAAAUGUUGGCGGGAAGGGAUCCCACAAUGUCCGGAUUUGAAAGGGGACAAGUAGUACAACUUAUCCUGACAAAAGUAGUCUUUGUCUACGAAAAGCCUUCGGUCGUGACGCUGCGAUGGGCUCGGUGAUGACCUCCGUCCUAUCUUCCUAGUGUGUCUUGGUCUUGUUGCACCAGAAUGGAAACCUUUGGCUGAUUCCUAGGGACUCCGCGCCUGUGGCUUGCCUUCUUUGCACCAAAGAGGAAACCUGCUCUCUGCACCCGCUGGCACCCGCCUGGCCUUGGUCGUUAUGGAUCACGUCAGCUGAGCCUCACGAGGUAUACCUUGCAUAGAACUCUUCCCCUUGGGAGCCGUCCUGAGGAGGCCGAUCCCCUCAGGGGUCUUGGCGUUGUCCGCCUCGCGAGGCUUGGCCCCUCGCAAAGGUCUUGAGCUAUUGACGUUGAAGCUGAGCUGUACUAGGCCAUCGAUGGAACCAUGUGGUGGGCCGCAGGCAGGCAGGGCUAGAUACCCCCAUAUCUAGAACGCCGAUAGUAGCCCCCGGGCCCAAGGCGCACUUUGAUUUGGCUUCCAGGUGAAGACAAAGGGCAAGUGCGGAGCGCCACGGGACCUAACCGCCUGCGUGUGGGGACCCCGACUCAUAGGUCGAGAUCACCGAAUGCACGUGUACAAUGAUCUCAGAGAUCAAUGCUCACUGAACACACAGAAUCUGUACAACAAGAGUCUUACAUCCACAUAAAUUAUGACCAUUAUGGUCAAGCCUUGAGUAUAACAUUGCAGCGGAAAUCUUUGUCAAUAACUUGGACCCAUGCCAUCUGCCUUUACCCUACAGGCAUUCUGGCUGGGAAAGCAUCCUAGAUCGCACGAUCAUCACCAAGGAACUCUUCUUCACAUCAUGGUCUUUCAUGCCUAGCCAAUAAAAUAACCAGUGGCAAGCUAAUGAGUACUUUGAAUGUACUCGCAAGCAACCCAAGAGUGACAAAAUAAUUAUGCUAAACUCUACUGCUUAAUUGGCAUUGUUGUGGAAGGCUAGUUUUUCUCAUGCAAGCAUGAUCAACAUUUACCAAGGGCAUGAAUGCGUCUGCAGCAAGUAUCAGGAGGUUACAGACAUCAGCCUCGAGACAGAGUUAUGAACAACUCAUGCUCAAGCUCAUCGUGACUUCCUCAUGAAUCACAUCAAGAAUAUCACCAAACCAUGUUGUUUUUUAGAAACAUAUGGACAUAGUCUAAGCAGCACCACCCAACUGUCCUUGACCGUGGACACGGCUAUUCAAAUAGUUUGACACUCUGCAGAGGUUGCACACUUUACCCACAAGAUCCGGGAAGCUUUCGUGUCAUCCAUGAUCCUGCAAUACCUCAAGUAGUCUGGGGAAGCACCCGAUCACUAUCUUUCCCUAGGCGACACUAACAUAGGGUCCACUCGUUGGUACACGGCCUUUGUGUAUAAACAUCAAGAUCUUGGGACUAUGCCCUUUUCAUUAUUGCACAUACACGCAGGGACCAACAUUGUGUCCGGUGCCCUGUGAAAACAGUCAUGGCCGCCUAUCCAAGCACGACCCCGUCCCGAGAGUGACUUCAUGUCACCCCCGUCACUAGUAAUGUGUGCACCAUGCCAGUAUCGGCCUAGGUAAUCAAUAAUGCCCUUUCCCAUAUAAGGGUAGAGUGGUUGCGCAUGUAGGGUUGGGAGAGUCAACAAAUCUUAAAUCUAAUCCGUCUCUGUAAACAACACUUUCAUCAAGCCUCGGUACACUACCUCUCCACCAAGUAGUGACCUAGUUCAUCAUCAUAUCCCAGGGGCCUUAGUGGCACUCACUGGGCUAUUUGCAAGUAUGUCAAACCACACUUGUUUCUUUUCAUGCAUAACCCUGACCCAUUUGCGUAGCCAACUACUAUAGCAUGUUUCUACAACCCACCAACACAACUCUAAACAAUGAUAGAGUCAUGAACAAUGCAAGUUGUCGGUGUCAAAACCGGCGGAUCUCGGGUAGGGGGUCCCGAACUAUGCGUCUAGGUGGAUGGUAACAAGAGACGAGGGACACGAUGUUUUUACCUAGGUUCGGGCCCUCUCGAUGGAGGUAAAACCCUACGUCCUGCUUGAUUAAUAUUGAUGAUAUGGGUAGUACAAGAGUAGAUCUACCAUGAGAUCAAGGAGGCUAAACCCUAGAAGCUAGCCUAUGGUAUGAUUGUUGUAAUGUAUGUUGUCCUACGGACUAAAGCCCUCCGGUUUAUAUAGACACCGGAGGAGGCUAGGGUUACACAGAGUCGGUUACAAUGGUAGGAGAUCUACAUAUCCGUAUUGCCAAGCUUGCCUUCCACGCCAAGGAAAGUCCCAUCCGGACACGGGCCGGAGUCUUCAAUCUUGUAUCUUCGUAGUCUUGGAGUCCGGCAGAUAAUGAUAGUCCGGCUAUCCGGACACCCCCUAGUCCAGGACUCCCUCAGUAGCCCCCGAACCAGGCUUCAAUGACGAUAAGUCCAGCGCGUUUAUAGUCUUCGGCGUUGCAAGGCGGGUUCUCCCUUCAAAUUCCAUGUACCUGCCGAACAGUGUCCGGCUUUAUCUUGAAUACUGUGUUCCUCGGCUUCUACGCCAAAUGAUGGCCCUCUUCCACGCGUCGCACGAAUGCGAAAAGCCAGGGUGUCUUUUACAUUUCACCCCCUAGUUGUGCGAGUCGUCCGCCUAUGAAAGAGGCAAGAAUCCAGAUCCAAACCGCACCGUCUUCCUCCCGCGAAUACUCCAUCGAAGCGCCUUUGACCUAGAAAUCCAUUCCAUCAUGGAUCAUCGACGCGGCUCUUCUUCGCGCGCUCCCAGCCCACCGUCGGGGAAUUCUAGGAGGUGCUCUAUUUCGCACAACGAGCUAGUGAAGCUCCAAAUGGGGGGAUUUCUCCCUCCGGCCUUCAUGGUCCCAGUCCGGGCCGGACUGGUUACUUAUCAAGGUGGGAGGCAGGCGGAGGACACUCCAAGCCCUAAUAAGGGGGAGCGAGUAUGCUUUGUCCCCUAUCUAAUAAGGGGACUCGGAUUUCCAAUACAUCCGUUCCUCCGUGGGCUCCUGAAGUUCUACGGACUCCAGCUCCACCACCUCACGCCCGCCUCUGUCCUGCAUAUCGCGGGCUAUGUAGCUCUUUGUGAGCUAUUCCUGGGCAUCGAGCCCCAUUUUGCACUGUGGAAGAGGCUGUUUUGCCUCGUACCCCGUUCUCACGAGGGGUCCAUAUAUCAAGUGGGCGGCGCCGAAAUAUGGCGCAUCGCUGGGACCGGAUACCUAUCCGGUACUCCUAAGAAGGCGUCCGAAGAUUGGCCCUCGGAGUGGUUUUAUAUAAGUGACGCUCCGCUACCAGACCCAGUCCGGAUCGGCCUCCCGGAGUUUAGUGCUGCUCCCUUGAAGAAACGCCUCAGCUGGCGCCCGCGGAGCCCCCGAUUGGAGGAAGACAAGAGCGUCCAUUACUUGAUGGGCCGAAUAAGAUUAAUGGCUCAUUCCAGUUUGACCAUGAUCGGAGUCAUGGCGACAUGCAUCAAGUGUGGGGUACAGCCAUUGCAAUACAGAGGCCACCCCAUGUGGGAUUUCAACGGGGAAGACGAUGCCACCCGGCAUGGCCGUAAAGGGCCGGAUUCGACCGAGGAUCUGGUAGAGAUCCUGUCCCGCCUGUACAAGGGGGAGAAGGAGGACUUCCUUCGAACGAACCCUUUGAAUUGGUUUUCCAUGAUCAACCCUAGAGGAUGGGUAAGUGAACACCUUGAAGGGUUCAACUCAUGCUUUCGAAGUUUAGGCUUCUUAUAUUAUGUCUUCGGCGCAGGAUCUACGCCGGACUGUGGAGGACAUGGUGAGUCCUGCUCCGCAACCCGAGGAUCCAGAAAGAUCCCUGGAUCCGGCCUCCGAAGAGGACCCGGACAUCGAGGUGGAGCUGAUCAACGGGGUGUUUCACCAGCUUAGCAUAGACAAUGCUUUGGUCGCCAUUACGGCGGACUACCCCGGACUAAGUCCAGCUUCCCAGGUGACCACGACCGAAGUCAGGACACCAUUAUCUCUUCCCUGCCCAUUUCUAACAUUCACGAACGACGGUAUUUUGCAGGAAGAGCCUUUACGGCAGGAAGCCGAGCCCGCGGCGGCUGACCAACAAAGGUCAGUCCGGACCAGCAGGCGGAAAAGGAGCGCGCUGCGAGCGGAGACGUCGCCACAAAGGUAUAGCUCGUAUUUAAAUUUUCAGAGCAACGUUCUGAGGAAACGCCUGAGUGCUCAUGAUCUUUGUAGGUGGAAAAGCGCUCGCCGGACUGCGAGCGUAGAAGUUGCCGAUCGGACCUACACCGGCCAGGCUCCAGCGCCCGGCCUGGAGGGGGAGGCAAGCGCAAGACGCGGGCCGGGUCCUUCUCCAACGGAGGACACCGACAGACUGUCCGCCACCAAGUCUGAGGUGGAGAGCGCCAUGAACCAUAGGUGCCGCCGGACAGUAUUUCGUGAAGCGUGCUUUUCCCCUGAGGCAUUGGAUGCCUUUAACGCAGGGGACGCGCAUCUCCGUGCCGCUCAAGAUGGUUUUACCAGAGCCACGGAGCAGUAUGUGAAAGACACACGGGUAAGGGAAUUUCAAUGGUUAUAUAUACCAGUAGCCCCCGAGACUUAAAGUAGUUAUGCUAACUGAUUUAAGGAUCUUUUGAAAACGCAGGCUCUUACCGAGAAGAACGCCCAGCAGUCUCGGGAGCUGCAAGAUUGCAAGGCCCAACUUGAGGCCGCACUUGCUGCCGCAGGAGGAGACGCAAAGACCCCUCCUGGUAACACAUUUUUAUUAAUAAAUAUAAGCGCUGUGCGGCGUGCGCGCGAGUCUAAUAAUGACAUUGCAGGUACCGCCGGACAAGAUCCGGACAGGCAAGCAUUGCUGCGCCAACUAAAGGCCGGUGAGAGUGUGCUGAAUAGGGUUCAGCAGGAAAGGAACAAGCUCCAGGAUGCCAACGCCAAGCUCGGAGAAGAGCUGAAAGGCGUUCGGGCCGAGCUGUCCGGCUCCGUUAAGGAGAAUCAGCGGCUUCAUCGCGGCAUUUAUAGUAAGUGCUUGAGCGGACUCUUUUGAAAAGAAGAGUUCGGCGAGGAAGUAUUUUGACAUGAUUUGUCUUGUAGGUAUACUCACGAGUCGUCCUGCAGAGGAGAUGCCCAUAUCCACGGGUGAUCAACUUCCCGAACUGUUGCAGCUGCUCGAACGAGUUCGGCAGGCAAUGAGCAGCGUCGUUCAGGCUUUAUGGCCAGCCCUCACCCUACCCGAGGGCCUCGGGGAGCUUGUGGAGAAGCUGAAGGGAGUGCGGCAGCGCUUCCGUUUGUGGAAGAUUUCGGCUUGCCGUCAAGGUGCCAGGGAGGCUUGGGCCAUGGUGAAGACGCGGUACAAGAGGGCGGAUCCCAACCAUAUGGCCGAAGUUGGACCGGUGGGGCCCGAUGGGAAGGAGAUCCCCAUGAGUUUAGUGUACAACAGGUAGAGUUGGCUGCUAAAUUUUCCCAACGGGACUGUAAACUAGACAACCUGUUAGACGGGAUUGAGGAGGAAUACAAUCAGUAAAUUUGACAAUGUAUGUUAUCCUUUAAAUUGACAUGUGAAAUGCCUUCUAGCCGGAUUGUAGAUCGUUUGUCUUUGCCGACCUUUUCGCUUGAACCUCGGGACCCUAGAGUCCGGAGUGUGUACGAAUACCUCUUUGGUUGAGAAACAACCGUGGUAUGCAUGGAGACCAGGCGUAGGGGUCAUUAGUGCUUUAUCAGACAAGUGCCCAACUAGUUAUGUUAUAUUACAUGGUUAGUAAGAAACAUCUUCCAGGGAGAAUAGUUCCGUUAAGGGUUCCUUUCCCUGGGAGGCAUGCCCUAAAGUGCAUGUCCGGACUGCAAAGAGAGCAGUAAAACAUCUGGGGGCAGAUAGAUAAAUAGGUAAAAAGUCAUCUUUUAAAUCACCGACCGAAUAUUCCCUUAAGAACGCUAGCUUUCGGCUUCACCUAGUCUGAGGUACACAUCCGGCUGACCCGGCAGUAACAAUCGCAGAGGUGCUCCCUUUACCUCCUAGCCGAACAAUUGGGAACGUAGGGGUAAGCACAGGAGCCAGGCAACCCAGCUUGGCCAAAACUUAAGUCAUAUCGAUGCAUAUAAUGGCGAGUAAAAGGUACAUGUGGAAGCUUGACACAUGUGCUGGGUACGAAACCCGUAUAAUUGAGCUUCUGUAAAAGAAGCCCCCAGGAAUAAUGAGUGCAAAUGGCACACCAUGCGUAUGCAAAAAAUGCUAAAAUAGGCCCGUAAGGGCUUUUUAAAAAAAAGGAUAAAAAGAGAAACAAAAGACAGCCGAAGUGUAAAAGUUUGGAUGGGGGAAGGGGAUGAACUCUUAGUCCGGCGCUAGGCAUAGAAUCGUCGGAGGCGGUCUGCGUUCCAUGGGUUCGGCUCGAGUCGGUUAUUCGACGCAUUUCGUAGACGGUAUGCUCCGCCGGUCAGGACUUGAUCGAUAAUGAAGGGCCCCUCCCAUUUGGGCUUGAGCUUGUCCUUUUUCUUGUCCGGCAGGCGUAGAACUAGUUCACCAACGUUGUAAGUCUUGGCUCGUACUUCUCUGCUUUGGUAUCUUCGGGCCUGCUGCUGAUAAAAUGCGGAACGAGCCUUCGCGACGUCACGUUCUUCCUCCAAUGUGUCCAAGCUGUCCUGCCGAUCAAGCUCGGCCUCUCUUUCCUCAUACAUGUGCACUCGAGGUGAGUCAUGAAUAAUGUCAUAGGGCAAGACUGCCUCUGCACCGUACACCAUAAAAAAUGGUGUGAAUCCGGUAGUACGGUUAGGCGUUGUCCGCAGCCCCCAGAGUACGGAGUCGAGCUCCUCGACCCAUUGUGUGUCGGAUUUAGUAAGUGACCUUACUAAUCUGGGUUUAAUGCCGCUCAUUAUUAGACCAUUUGCUCUUUCCAUUUGACCGUUGGUUUGAGGGUGAUAAACUGAAGCAUAGUCUAGCUUGAUGCCCAUAUUUUUGCACCAUGACUUAACCUCAUCGGCUGUGAAGUUCGUGCCGUUGUCGGUGAUGAUGCUGUGGGGGACUCCAUAAUGGUGUACCACCCCUGAUAUAAAGUCUAUCACUGGUCCGGACUCUGCCGUUUUGACCGGUUUGCCCUCUAUCCAUUUGGUGAAUUUAUCAACCAUGACCAAUAGGUACCUUUGCUUGUGGGUUCCCCCUUUAAGGGGUCCAACCAUGUCAAGCCCCCAGACCGCGAACGGCCAGGUAAUGGGUAUCAUUUUGAGGGCGGUGGGUGGCAUAUGGCUCUGAUUAGCAAAGAGCUGACAACCAACGCAUCGCUGGACCAAGUCCUGCGUGUCUGCCCGAGCCGUCGGCCAAUAAAAUCUUGUACGGAAUGCCUUUCCUACAAGGGCCCGGGCUGCUGCAUGGUGUCCGCCUAGUCCGGCAUGAAUUUCAGCCAGGAGGUUUCGCCCUUCCUCUUCGGAGAUACACCUCUGAAGGACUCCGGUUGUACUUUUCUUAUAAAGUUCUCCCUCAUGGACCUUGUAGGCUUUUGAUCGCCGGACUAUGCAGCGGGCCUCGUUUUGGUCUUCGGGAAGUUCCUGCCUAAGCAAGUAGGCUACGAAAGGUUCUAUCCACGUGGCGAUUACUGCCAUUAUAACAUGGGCUGAAGGUGUUAUGUCGUCUGCUGAAUCAUCGAUUGAUGCGGUUCUUUCCGGUUUAUCGCUACCGGGCUCCUCUUCUCAUAGUACGGAUGGCUUGAAGAGCCGUUCCAGGAAGAUAUUUGGAGGGGCAGCAUCACGUUUCGCACCGAUGCGUGCUAGGACGUCGGCCGCUUGGUUAUUAUCUCGGGAUAUGUGAUGGAAUUCAAGUCCUUCAAACCGAGCUGACAUUUUCAGGACAACGUUGCGAUAUGCUGCCAUUUUCGGAUCCUUGGCGUCAAAGUCUCCGUUUAUUUGGGAUAUUGCAAGGUUUGAAUCCCCGCGCACCUCUAGGCGUUGAAUGCCCAUGGAGACCGCCAUCCGGAGACCAUGUAACAGGGCCUCGUAUUCGGCUGCAUUGUUGGAGUCCGUGUACAUUAUUUGAAGUACAUACUGGACUGUAUCUCCGGUUGGGGACGUCAGUACGACACCAGCCCCUAGUCCGGCCAACAUUUUGGAGCCGUCGAAAUGCAUAGUCCAAUUGGAGUAUGCGCCGUACUCUUUAGGGAGUUCGGCUUCAGUCCAUUCGGCGACGAAGUCAGCCAAAACUUGUGACUUUAUAGCUCGUCGAGGUUUGUAAGUUAUGUCGAAUGGUAAGAGCUCAAUGGCCCAUUUUGCAAUCCUUCCCAUUGCAUCGCGGUUAUUUAUAAUGUCAUUGAGUGGUACUUCAGAGGCCACUGUUAUCGAGCACUCUUGAAAGUACUGCCGGAGCUUUCGAGAUGCCAUGAACACCGCAUAUGCUAUCUUCUGAUAGUGCGGGUAACGGGAUUUGCAGGGGGUUAACACAGUGGAUACAUAAUACACUGGUUUUUGAAGAGGGAAUUUAUGCCCUUCUGUCGCUCGUUCGACGACGAGGACCGCACUUACAACUUGAUGUGUUGCUGCGAUGUAUAACAACAUUGGUUCGCCCAGAGUGGGCGCAGCCAGGACCGGAUUUGUUGCCAGUAUGGCCUUUAUUUCUUCGAGUCCGGCAGUGGCAGCAUCCGUCCACUCAAAGUGUUCGGUGCGCCUGAGGAGGCGAUAAAGGGGCAACGCCUUUUCUCCUAGACGGGAGAUAAAGCGGCUUAAGGCUGCCACGCAUCCUGUUAAUUUUUGUAUUUGUUUGAGGUCUUUUGGAAUAUCCAACUGUGACAGAGCUCGGAUUUUGGCCGGAUUUGCUUCAAUUCCUCUGCCAGAUACAAUGAAGCCCAGCAGCUUUCCGGCUGGUACGCCGAAAACGCAUUUUUCCGGAUUCAGCUUGAUGUCAUAUGCUCUGAGGUUUUCGAAUGUGAGCCUCAAAUCGUCUACUAGAGUUUCGACGUGUUUUGUUUUGACGACUACGUCGUCUACGUAUGCCUCGACUGUUUUGUCGAUCUGGGUGGCCAGACAUGUUUGAAUCAUGCGCUGAUAUGUUGCGUCGGCAUUUUUAAGUCCGAAAGGCAUCAUGUUGAAGCAGAAUGGUCCAUAUGGAGUGAUGAAUGCCGUUGCGGCUUGGUCUGCUUCCGCCAUCUUGAUUUGAUGGUAACCAGAGUAUGCGUCCAGGAAGCACAACGAAUCGUGCCCUGCUGUAGCAUCGAUAAUUUGAUCGAUGCGGGGGAGAGGGAAAGGAUCCUUUGGCCAGGCCUUAUUGAGGUCUUUAAAAUCGACACAGAGGCGCCAAGAUUUAUCCUUCUUUGGUACCAUCACCAGAUUUGCU